GGUUUAAAAGCAUGGUAAGUUAAAUUAAUAUGGAUUUAUGUAGUGUUUGAUAUUAUGUGUUACUAAUAUGGUCAACUCCAGGUUUAUCCUAAGACCCUAGCUUAUUUUGUGGGAUUAACCCACACUAAUUAUCCCACCUCCCCCAUGGGAUUAACCCACACUAAUUAUUCCACCCCCUCCAUAGGCUACUAAUUUAGGUAUUUGAUAUGUUAAUCCAACCUAUUUCAAUGGAUACCAAAC
rnacentral:lncRNA from 1 species